rnacentral:rRNA from 1 species
UGGGGAAUAUUGCACAAUGGACGGAAGUUUGAUGCAGCGACGCCGCGUGGAGGGUGUAGGCCUUCGGGUUAUGAACUCCUUUUUCUCGCGAAAAAGGCACAGUUUUGGCUGUGUUGAUGGUAGUGGGGGAAGAAGCGCCGGCUAACUACGUGCCAGCAGCCGCGGUAAUACGUAGGGCGCGAGCGUUGUCCGGAUUUAUUGGGCGUAAAGAGCUCGUAGGUGGUUCGUCGCGUCUGUCGUGAAAGCCAGCAGCUUAACUGUUGGUCUGCGGUGGGUACGGGCGGGCUUGAGUGCGGUAGGGGUGACUGGAAUUCCUGGUGUAGCGGUGGAAUGCGCAGAUAUCAGGAGGAACACCGAUGGCGAAGGCAGGUCACUGGGCCGUUACUGACACUGAGGAGCGAAAGCGUGGGGAGCGAACAGG